rnacentral:lncRNA from 1 species
UAAAACCUAAACAUUAACCAUUUAAACUCAUUUUCCAUAAAAUUCACAAAAUCGAAUAAAAAGACUACUUUAGAUAAUUAAAAUGAUGAUAAGGUUACUCACUAUUUUGGGAGUCGAAUUUUUAGAGUACUCCGACUAUCGAUCCUCAGGUACAAUUUUUUUACCUUUAUCGGAGGAUUCACCACCUAGACAUAAUGCACAAUCAAGCAAUUUACCACAUUGGUGCGAAACUGUUAUAAAACUAUAUGGAUGCAUGAAAUGGAAUGCAAAUUGUUCGGAUUAUCGUCUAAACACGGUGUUUUACACAAAUUCAAUUGUGUACCUAGAUAAAACGGCAUUGGCCUAAUUCGAUCUAUCACUUGCUUAAUUGGCCAAUAUGUCCAAUUCAACUCCCAUUAACUCCAUUUUUCAUCCAAUUCUCCAAACCAUCAAACACAAGUCAAAUUGCAUAAAAUUUAGCAGAAUCAUCUUCACAUUUUCUCUUGGGAAUUUCGGCCAUGAUGGGUGCAUCAACAUUAUGAUUUUUUCUACUUGAUUUUCUCACCAUAAUUCAUCAUUUCCUAACCAAUUCACUUGAAAAAAAAUCAAAUCCACCAUCCACACUUUACAUGGAAAAUUCGGCCAAUGAUGGGUGAUGGGAGGAAGUGAAUUUUUCUUGUUGGCUUUUCAUGCUACACAUUACUAACUAACUAAAACCACUAAAAUUCAUUGAAAUCUAACCAAAUCAAGCAUCAAAACUGCUCCCUCCCUGUCCGGCCAGCAAGAUACCCAUCAUGAAAUCAUGUGAUUCAACCAUGGAAAAUGAAAAAUGAUGCAUGGGAAAGGUAGAUCUCAAGCUUUAUUGAAAAAAUCUUACCUUUUUCACUUGUUUCUUUGAAUUUUCACCAAUUUGCCCUUGAAUUUUUCCACCUAGGGUUUGUUCUCUUCCUUUUUCCCUUUGUUCUUGGUGUG